GUCUACGGCCAUACCACCCUGAACGCGCCCGAUCUCGUUUGAUUUCGGAAGCUAAGCAGGGUCGGGCCUGGUUAGUACUUGGAUGGGAGACCGCCUGGAAAUACCGGGUGCUGUAGGCU
rnacentral:rRNA from 2 species